GACGAACGCUGGCGGCGUGCUUAACACAUGCAAGUCGAACGGAAAGGCCCUGCUUUUGUGGGGUGCUCGAGUGGCGAACGGGUGAGUAACACGUGAGUAACCUGCCCUUGACUUUGGGAUAACUUCAGGAAACUGGGGCUAAUACCGGAUAGGAGCUCCUGCUGCAUGGUGGGGGUUGGAAAGUUUCGGCGGUUGGGGAUGGACUCGCGGCUUAUCAGCUUGUUGGUGGGGUAGUGGCUUACCAAGGCUGUGACGGGUAGCCGGCCUGAGAGGGUGACCGGCCACAAUGGGACUGAGAUACGGCGCAGACGCCAACGGGAGGCAGCAGGGGGGAAUAUUGCACAAUGGGCGGACGCCUGAUGCAGCAACGCCGCGUGCGGGAUGACGGCCUUCGGGUUGUAAACCGCUUUCGCCUGUGACGAAGCGUGAGUGACGGUAAUGGGUAAAGAAGCACCGGCUAACUACGUG
rnacentral:rRNA from 1 species